AAUUCAAUUUGGUGCUUUUGGAAAUCAAAUUGGAUAUUUUAUUUGGAAAUCGUAUUCCAUAUUCGUAAUAAACCGCAUUUGAUAAACACGUGCUUUAUUGAAUUCUACGGUAUGUGUUGUUGUUAGUGCGGUGUUUUAUUUCUUCGCGGGCCAGGCGAACUUUUUUCUCGCCCCUAAUUGUUCUUCUAUAUAGUUCUAGAGUACUAUUCUAUUUCAUUCAAUUUUGUGCUUUUGGAAAUAAAAUUGGAUAUUUUAUUUGGAAAUCUUAUUCCAUGUAUCAAAUAAAAUGCCGAAUAGAACAUUGCAAUGUGAGGAAGAGCGUGCACAAAUUAAUGCAGAUAGAAGAGAUCGAUAUGCACGAAAUCGAAACUCACCUAAUCGAUCUCUUGAUAGGCAGCCACCUCGAAACCGGCCAGUGCGAGCGGGAGUUCGUGUUUUGCAGCAAACGCUCCUUGCUGCUUUUAAUUACGAUAGUGCCAUUGAUUACAGUGCAUAUGGCUGUAUUGGUGGAAUGACGGUGAGAUGUGCACAUUGUGGUGCAACCAAAUUUCCAAAUAAAACAGAUGGCAUGAGCUGUGCUAACGGCAAAGUGAAAUUGCCAACAUUUAAUUCACCACCCGAUCCACUACGUUCGCUGAUUUUUGGAAUGGUAUCAACGUCGACACAUUUUUUGUCUCAUAUUCAAGAAUACAAUGCAUCAUUUCAAAUGACUUCUUUUGGUGCGACAAAAAUUGUAAGAGACAAUUUAAUGCCGACGUUCAAGGUGAUUAGUUCUUCUUCCUUCUUCUUCUUCUUCAUCCUCCUUCUUCUUUCUCCUCCUUCUUCUUCUUCGUUCUUCGUCUCACAUAUUACAGAUUCAGGGUCAGAUUUACCACCGCGCUGGCUCAUUAUUACCAUAUCCUGAUUCCGACCAUCAAUUCUUACAAAUCUAUUUCGUUGGAAAUGAAAAUCGCGAAUUGGAUCGGCGAUGUACAAUUGCUUCGAGGUUCAAGUAUUCAAAAUCGCUCUCGAUCGUAUGCCAUCGGAUAAUCACAAAAUCAUCAUAAAAGCCGAUAGAACACCCAUCGGAGAGCAUGCAAGUCGAUUUAAUGCACCGAAAACCGAUGAUGUGGCUAUUGUAAUUGUUGGGACCAGUUUCAAUCUCGCGACAUCGUGCUACAUCGAAGAAAUGAGCAAUUACAGCGUGUUUCAGAGCUUCACCGCAGCUAUGAUGCAUUACAAUAUCCAUUAUUGUACUGGAAAGGUGAUGACGCCUAGAAUAUCAAUAUACCAAUGAUAGAUCCACAAACCGGCAGAGUAUAAUAUAAAUUUAAUAUGCAUUCAUUUUAACACAAGAAGACAUUUGAAUUUUUUUAAUAAUGCAUUCAUUACAGCUCGUGACAAGAGUUCAAGAGUUGGCA